rnacentral:tRNA from 1 species
GGAACCAUAGCUAAGUGGGUAAGGCCGUAGUCUGCAAAACUGCAAUUGUGCCGAGUUCGAUUCUUGGCUGGUUCCU